rnacentral:rRNA from 1 species
UCGGGCUAAUACCGGAUGUGCCCGCAAGGGGAAAGGAAGCUUCGGCCUCCGCAUCAAGAUGGGCCCGCGGCCCAUUAGCUUGUUGGUGAGGUAACGGCUCACCAAGGCUUCGAUGGGUAGCUGGUCUGAGAGGACGAUCAGCCACACUGGGACUGAGACACGGCCCAGACUCCUACGGGAGGCAGCAGUGGGGAAUCUUGCGCAAUGCGCGAAAGCGUGACGCAGCAACGCCGCGUGGGGGAAGAAGGCUUUCGGGUUGUAAACCCCUUUCAGUUGGGACGAAGCUUCUCCGGUGAAUAGCCGGACGGAGUGACGGUACCUUCACAAGAAGCACCGGCUAACUACGUGCCAGCAGCCGCGGUAAUACGU